CUGCUCCUACGGGAGGCAGCAGUGAGGAAUAUUGGUCAAUGGUCGGGAGACUGAACCAGCCAAGCCGCGUGAGGGAGGAAGGCGCAGAGCGUCGCAGACCUCUUUUGCCGGGGGACAAAAGGCCGGACUCGUCCGGUCCUGAGGGUACCCGGAGAAAAAGCAUCGGCUAACUCCGUGCCAGCAGCCGCGGUAAUACGGAGGAUGCGAGCGUUAUCCGGAUUUAUUGGGUUUAAAGGGUGCGCAGGCGGUCUGUUAAGUCAGCGGUCAAAGCCCGGGGCUCAACCCCGGCCCGCCGUUGAAACUGG
rnacentral:rRNA from 1 species